AGCAGCCGCGGUAAUUCCAGCUCCGAUAGCGUAUAUUAAAGUUGUUGCAGUUAAAAAGCUCGUAGUUGAAUUUCGGGAUCAAAUUGUUGGUCGUGCCUCGGUACGCACUGGUAUUAUUGGUUCCUACCUUCUGAAGAACCGCGAUGUCAUUAAUUUGGUGUCGUGGGGAAUCAGGACUGUUACUUUGAAAAAAUUAGAGCGUUUAGAGCAGGCUUACGCUUGAAUACAUUAGCAUGGAAUAAUGAAAUAGGACGUUUGAUUCUAUUUUGUUGGUUUCUAGGAUUGACGUAAUGAUUAAUAGGGAUAGUUGGGGGCAUUAGUAUUCAAUUGUCAGAGGUGAAAUUCUUGGAUUUAUUGAAGACUAACUACUGCGAAAGCAUUUGCCAAGGAUGUUUUCAUUAAUCAAGAACGAAAGUUAGGGGAUCGAAGACGAUCAGAUACCGUCGUAGU
rnacentral:rRNA from 1 species